UACAGAGGGUGCGAGCGUUAAUCGGAAUCACUGGGCUUAAAGCGUGCGUAGGCGGAUGUGCAGGCAUGUUGUGAAAUCCCAUGGCUCAACCAUGGAAUUGCUUCGUGAACCGCAUGUCUCGAGGUAGGUAGAGGCGGUCGGAACGCUAGGUGGAGCGGUGAAAUGCGUAGAUAUCUAGCGGAACGCCGAAGGAGAAGUCAGGCCGCUGGGCCUUACCUGACGCUGAGGCACGAAAGCGUGGGGAGCAAACGGG
rnacentral:rRNA from 1 species